UACGUAGGGUCCGAGCGUUGUCCGGAAUCACUGGGCGUAAAGGGCGCGUAGGCGGCUUUGUAAGUCGGGGGUGAAAGCCUGUGGCUCAACCACAGAACUGCCUUCGAUACUGCAUGGCUUGAGACCGGAAGAGGUAAGUGGAACUGCGAGUGUAGAGGUGAAAUUCGUAGAUAUUCGCAAGAACACCAGUGGCGAAGGCGGCUUACUGGUCCGGUUCUGACGCUGAGGCGCGAAAGCGUGGGGAGCAAACAGG
rnacentral:misc_RNA from 1 species